UAUAACUUUACCCUUAUUGUACAUAAAGUUCCAUUUGAAAAUCUAAAAUCAAGAAGAGAAGAACAUAUAGGGUAAUAACGUAACUACUAUGAUUAUUAAAUACUGUAGAUGGUAAAACUCACAUGGUCAUGAGCCACUUAUAAAAGCUGGCUCAGACUAACAGCAUAUCAAAUCAGCGUAUGUAAAGUUGAACUCCAAGCUAAAUUCCCUCUGUGGUCCUCAG